GUCGGCAGGCCUAACACAUGCAAGUCGAGCGGUAGCACAGAGAGCUUGCUCUCGGGUGACGAGCGGCGGACGGGUGAGUAAUGUCUGGGAAACUGCCUGAUGGAGGGGGAUAACUACUGGAAACGGUAGCUAAUACCGCAUAAUGUCGCAAGACCAAAGUGGGGGACCUUCGGGCCUCAUGCCAUCAGAUGUGCCCAGAUGGGAUUAGCUAGUAGGUGGGGUAACGGCUCACCUAGGCGACGAUCCCUAGCUGGUCUGAGAGGAUGACCAGCCACACUGGAACUGAGACACGGUCCAGACUCCUACGGGAGGCAGCAGUGGGGAAUAUUGCACAAUGGGCGCAAGCCUGAUGCAGCCAUGCCGCGUGUGUGAAGAAGGCCUUCGGGUUGUAAAGCACUUUCAGCGGGGAGGAAGGCGGUGAGGUUAAUAACCUCACCGAUUGACGUUACCCGCAGAAGAAGCACCGGCUAACCCCGUGCCAGCAGCCGCGGUAAUACGGAGGGUGCAGGCGUUAAUCGGAAUUACUGGGCGUAAAGCGCACGCAGGCGGUCUGUCAAGUCGGAUGUGAAAUCCCCGGGCUCAACCUGGGAACUGCAUUCGAAACUGGCAGGCUAGAGUCUUGUAGAGGGGGGUAGAAUUCCAGGUGUAGCGGUGAAAUGCGUAGAGAUCUGGAGGAAUACCGGUGGCGAAGGCGGCCCCCCUGGACAAAGACUGACGCUCAGGUGCGAAAGCGUGGGGAGCAAACAGGAUUAGAUACCCUGGUAGUCCACGCCGUAAACGAUGUCGAUUUGGAGGUUGUGCCCUUGAGGCGUGGCUUCCGGAGCUAACGCGUUAAAUCGACCGCCUGGGGAGUACGGCCGCAAGGUUAAAACUCAAAUGAAUUGACGGGGGCCCGCACAAGCGGUGGAGCAUGUGGUUUAAUUCGAUGCAACGCGAAGAACCUUACCUGGUCUUGACAUCCACAGAACUUUCCAGAGAUGGAUUGGUGCCUUCGGGAACUGUGAGACAGGUGCUGCAUGGCUGUCGUCAGCUCGUGUUGUGAAAUGUUGGGUUAAGUCCCGCGACGAGCGCAACCCUUAUCCUUUGUUGCCAGCGGUCCGGCCGGGAACUCAAAGGAGACUGCCAGUGAUAAACUGGAGGAAGGUGGGGAUGACGUCAAGUCAUCAUGGCCCUUACGACCAGGGCUACACACGUGCUACAAUGGCAUAUACAAAGAGAAGCGACCUCGCGAGAGCAAGCGGACCUCAUAAAGUAUGUCGUAGUCCGGAUUGGAGUCUGCAACUCGACUCCAUGAAGUCGGAAUCGCUAGUAAUCGUAGAUCAGAAUGCUACGGUGAAUACGUUCCCGGGCCUUGUACACACCGCCCGUCACACCAUGGGAGUGGGUUGCAAAAGAAGUAGGUAGCUUAACCUUCGGGAGGGCGCUUACCACUUUGUGAUUCAUGACU
rnacentral:rRNA from 1 species